UACGAAGGGGGCUAGCGUUGUUCGGAAUUACUGGGCGUAAAGGGCGCGUAGGCGGCUUUAUAAGUCGGGGGUGAAAGCCUGUGGCUCAACCACAGAAUUGCCUUCGAUACUGUAGAGCUUGAGACCGGAAGAGGUAAGUGGAACUGCGAGUGUAGAGGUGAAAUUCGUAGAUAUUCGCAAGAACACCAGUGGCGAAGGCGGCUUACUGGUCCGGUUCUGACGCUGAGGCGCGAAAGCGUGGGGAGCAAACAGG
rnacentral:rRNA from 1 species